UGGUGGCGUGAAAUCUCAUCUGCGGCUGCCUGGGCGGGGGAGCUCCGGGAGCACGGGGACAAGGCAGUCACUGAUCUCUUCACUUCUGCAGGCCUGCUUUUAAGAGUUCUCCUACUGAGCCCUGGAGCUGCCUGUGUGCUGAGAUUUAGAAAGUAAAGAAAAAAAAUCAAAGCACCCAGGAGCCAUAAUGCAGUUUUGGGCUGCAGUUAAAAGCAGAAGACUUGCUUUCUUUUACAAAAAUGCAUUGGGGGUUUAACUCAAGGAAGAAAAGACCUGCCAUUGUCCUUGAGCCUUUUCUCUUCACCUAACCUGCUGCUAAAUAUAAAUCUGCUUCAGAGUCUUUUUGCCUUCUCUCCCUUCACUUUGACUUGUCUGUUUGCAGUUUCAGAUCAGUGAAGAGCCUAUUUGCAGACUGAAAUGCUGCAGUAGCUGGACACUCUCGUUUCUCUCUUUUUCUAAUACUCAGUUCUUUUGACAUCAGGUUUUUAUCAAUCCCAUAGCAGGUAUUAGUGAAUCCAGUUUAUCUUCUGAGGUGGGUAAAUGGCUCAGAGAAUAGGCAUGAUGUCCAGUUUUAUUGGUUCUGGAAAUGAAAAUGAUGCUGAUAACAGACUCUUGUGUAAACAGAAGUGCUCAACAGAUGUGCAGCGCCUAUCAGAGAUGGUUAAAACAUAACCAGCUGCCUUUUAUGCAUAAAAUCUUCUUUUCAAAACUGUUUUAAGAGGAGGGCCAGGGGGAGAUUUGUGGCUUUCUAUGAUACCCCCAGAGAUGCACAGAUAUCACUUGGGAGUGGAACGUUUCACUGCUCUGCCAUGACCUGGAAUGGUGGUUGUGCCAACAUUUGUUUCAGCACUUGUGUAAGACAAUUUAUCAGUGUUACAACUAAAAUACAAGGGACAACAGACUGAAACCUGGGCAGGUGUGGCCUUGAAAGGAUGUACACAACUUGUAUUUGAAGGAUCUGCAUAUGCUUUUGAGCCCUGACAAUAAAAUACAUUAAACUUGAGGUUAUUCCUAUUUAAAACACACUUAGGUGGUACAAUAUGAUUGUUGCAGUUGCCUGUCACGUCUGUAUUACGUGCAUGACACUCAUUUAGGUGGAUGUUUACUUUAUGGCUGAACAUUCUGGGUACAUGAAGGGAAUUUUUUUAUCCCAGAUUUGUAGCAGUCUCAUGGUGCUUCUCAAAACAGCUGGAUGUGUCUGCUGCUUUUUGAGCUGUUUGAACUUUUGUACAGCUGCAGGAUCUUUUGUCUUUGAUCAGCACCAUGAAUUAAAACUGAAGAAUACUCAGACUUGAGAUGAAUUUCUUAUAAUGGAGACUUGAACUGGUAGUUCAAGGAAAUAAUGUGCAAAACUCACAGCUUUUGAUUUUUCUACUUGAGUGACAAUUUGAAACCUACUGAAGAAGAAACUUCUUGUUCACAUCCUCAGAAAAAAAGAGGAAAAAAACUUAACAGAAAUCCAUAAUUUUUCCUUGAUGCUCUUUAAAAUGCUGUGUGUUUCCAUCUCGUAGAUACUUUUUCCAUCUAGUAAGAAGAUAGUGCAGGUAACUUGACUUGAAUCUCUAUUUUGCCACUGAGCAAAUUGCUCUUGCAAUGAGAACUCACACUGGGCACUUCUGCAGGCUGUGGAAACUGUGCUGAUUCCUGUCUUUUGGGGUGUACAGGGCUGUUCCUAAUAUUGCACAUAAGUCCCUUGAAAGUGACUUGGAACACACUGUUAACCAAGUGGAAAUGUUGAGUUGUCUUACAGGCAAAAAGCCAUGAUGAGAAAUCCUUGCAGUGUGGAUUUUGUGUGGGACAUUGCAUGUUCUGGUGUCCUGACUUGACAUUUUGAUGGAGCUUCUGUAUUUCAGGAGAUUCAGGAGGAAUGUCACGUCCACUCAGACCAAAAACGUGCUCUGUGGAAGCUGUGUCAGCUCAAGACAUUCUCAGACCUUUUUCUACCUCCAACACUUGAAUGUUGAUUUUUUUCAUUGUGUUGCCACAGCUUUUUCCACAGAUCAGAUUGAAGGGAUGGCAUAUUGUGGGGAACAUAGAAAUUUCCCAAGUUAUUUUAUUUUGCUCUCAGCAGCAGGACUGAGUAGUGUUCUGGACUAUGCAAUAUUCAUAGAAAAGCUCAUCUUGAUUUUGGCUUGAAACUGAUGUUUCGGCAUCCCAUAAACACAAAAACUUUUACAUGGAAAAUUAGGUAAGACUUAACAGCUAUUAAAUUAGAUUCCAACAUUGUAAAAGAAAAAAAUCUAAUUUUUUCAGUCUCCUCUUGUCUGUAAAGUGGCCUCCCUGUGCAAGGGAGGGAUGGGACAAAGCUCCACAUUCACAAGCAAAUUAUUUGUUAGGGGGUUGAACCAGAAGUGAUACAAUAUCUUUUGGGAACUAUUUUCCAAGCUCAUCUUGCUCUGCUGUCGUUAAUACCCCCAGCAGAUCCAUUCUCCUGAGUAUAUGAAAUAUUAGCUUGGGAUCAGCUGCUCUCUGAUUAGCAUAUGAAGUGACUCUGUGGCUAAAGAUGGGUGUAUUAACAAUAGGCAGAAUGAGACUCCCAAUGCACAUGGGUAAUUAGCAGGAGCCACCCGGGAUUCCCAUUUGCAGGGUUGCAAAAAGGCAGAGGGGAGACAAACCUUUCCAGGAGACUGAGCAAAUCCUCUUCACCAGGAGUGAUGGGAUGGAAAGGUGGCAAAACCAAAACUGCCUGGGAUUAGGAGGUGGGUUUUGCAGCUGCAGUGCUGAGCAGCCUGAUGGGCCAAAGAGCAUCAGUGGAAUGAAUAUUGCAGAACUCCCGUGUGAAGGUGGCAAGGGAAGAGGAACAGUGACCUGGAAAAUAUUUCUGUUCACUAGACAAGCCAGCAGAAGCAUUUUUGCUUCUCUGACUUGGAAGUGUUGAAGGCUGCAUUAGUACUUGGAUGUUUUUUGUGAAUGUAACAGCACUCAGGUGUGCUUUUUCUCCUUGGAUGGCACUUAAGGUAGCUCAAGUGGAAAAGUGGAAUGAAAAAUAUGGUUUGGUACAGCACCACAUUUUUAGCUAGGGCUUUAAAUUUAAAUUACUGAUUUGUAAGCAGUAGUACUUUGAUAUUUGAAGUUAUGACUGCACAAAGUGCAUCCUGAAUGGAAAUCUCUGAUUCUUAAAUUCCUUUAGAUUGCUGUGUGAUGAAGGAAAGAAAACCACCUUUAAGACUACUCAGGUGGCUCUUGGGGAUUGGAGGAAAAGGAAGAUAUCCUGUGUGUGUUUGCACAGUGGGAAAUUCCUUAGAAGACAAGGUUGUUGAUCCAAGGCUUGGAUCAUAUUCCAGACUUUUAAAUGAAACCUGAUUUUCCUGCUCUGGACUUUUUAGAAGUGGAUCUAUGGUUGUUACUAAUCCAGACACAUUAUUUUUAGUUUACAGACAGUGUUUUGAUUUGAUUUUCCUAAACUGUGCUCUGCACUUCUUCAGGUGAAACUUCACCACUUAAAUCCAGUUAAAUAAAAAGCACCCAAAAAAUCCCUUCUUUUUCUUUCCCCUCAUAGAUGCUGAUUUCAAGUGUAAAAUGUUUGCUGACUCAAUUAUUUGUUGGACCUCUUUCUCUACUGGUAGUUAAUUUUUUUCCUGUGCUGUGUUUUCUUCACUAAGUCAUUAUGUAAACUUCAGUAUGCAGUCAAAACAGCAGCCUUUCAAUAAAAAAUGCAGUCGGUAUCAGUGACUUUGUCAUCUGUUUGAAUGGGUUUUUAUCAGAAUCUGGAAAACCCAACAGCAGCACUUAGCCAGAAUCUCAUUAUGGCCCUCUGAACCAGCUACCUUAUUUAGAUGAGGUAUUAGUUGUUACAGAUAGGGAAGCUGAGAAUUAGCCCAUGGAGCUGCAGUGGUUAUAGAAGAGUGCCUGUUGUCUUUCCAUGGGCAGAGCUGUGUCCUUAGCAUGAGAAUCUUCAUUUUCUUAUGUUUAAAAAAUCAUAGAAUCACAGAAUGGGUUGGGUUGGAAGGGACCUUAAAGUUCAUCCAGUUCCCUGUCCUGCUGUGGGCAGGGACACCUUCCACUAUCCCAGGUUGCUCCAAGCCACGUCCAGCCUGGCCUUGGACGUUUGGAGGGAUGGGACACCUACAGAUCUCUUUAGCCAACAAUUUGGAAUAAGCCUUGAUUCACCCACUGUAUUUUCACCUGAUUAACUCGGUGUCAGCACAGCAAGCGUGGCGUUUUCAACAAGGCCAAUCAUCCCCAUCUCAGUUUUGUUCUUUUGUGGAUUGCUUUUGGAUUAUAUUUACUCUGACCUUCCAUUCUGCUCUUUCCUGUCUGCUUCUAGAGUUGGCUUUAUGUGGCCAGAAGGUAGAUGCAGAAUAUACUGCAAGCAGGAAUAUGCAUAAACAGCAUGUGGCAUGGUUUGUGUGUUGUGGAUUGUUGGACGAGCUCUGUGCCAGUUCAUCAACAAUAAUUUGUGCAUAUUAAUAUAUUUGGAUGCAUUUAAUUUCAUUGGCACUUAGCCUGCUCCUUAAGUUAUUAAUUUGUGAAAUCUGUUUGGAGGAAGGGUAAGAACUUGUAGGCAGCAUAUGGUGUGAUAUUGGGGGGAAAGGACGGCUGCGGGUGUGAAUUUUAUUUUGUCAGUUUGGUGGGAGUACCUCUUGUUCUUUAUGGGUGCCAUCUGCACAAGGCUCUCUCUGCAAGGCUUGUGCUUGCUGAGCUUUUAACUUUGGCUGCUUUGGGGGAGGGCAAAGAGAAUAUUUUAUUCUGUGCCACCUUUUGAAGUGUUUUGUUUUGUGUAAAGGCUUUUCUUUUGCCAGGGGAAAACACCUUGAAGGGUCUACAGUUUAACUGGCUGUUAAAGGCCGGUGUCAUACAGCUCUGGAUCCAUCAUUCAGGCAUUUUCACAAACAUAUUUCUUUGCCUGCUACUGUUACUUUUUUGAUGCUGAAUGUCUUCUGUCUAUUUUUCCUGACCUUCCAGCAAUUACGAGAAUAAUCAUUAUUUUCAUGCUCUGGUUCUUAGGACUUCAAUUUCUUGAACUUUAUAAGGUCUGUGAGACAGGGCAGCUCCUUGUUGCUUUGACAGCUUUUCCAUAGCUUUAUUCAACUUCUUUAAAUUUGUUCAGCUUUGUAUAUCUGAGUAUACAACAAGCACCACAGUUGAGAGGUCUCUGGCUUCAGCAGUAAAUGAAGGCAUUUUGUUCAGUUCAUAUACUUAAAUGUGACAUUUCAUGUUGUUCUUUCUGCUUUUCCAGGAAUAGGUGCCUUUUUGUUUCUGAAGCUUUUGUUGUGACAUGCUUCCACAUCUCCAGUGGAAUGAAUGCCAGGGGGUUGGAAUUUUGAGAUCUCUUAAGCUCCCUUCCAACCCAAACCAUUCUAGGAUUCUCUGAUUCUGUCUUUCUCCUCCAGCCAAUUGAUCUUCAUAUUUUACAGAGAUCAUAUAAUGCUUUGAUAUUUAAUAAUAGAUUUGAUUAUGUGGUUAUUUCCAGUGACACGUUUCCUUCUCCUCUGCAUACAUACCCCAGUGCUUGCUCAAUGCUCAGAGAUCCUGACAGAGAUUGGAUCAGGUUGAAGCACAACAGGCAAAAUUUGUUCAGUGAGUCUUGAUAUGCCAGGACAGGAAUUCAGAGAAGUUUGGUUCAAGUUCUACUGCAGAACUUAAUGUCUUUUUCAGCUUUCUUCAUUUCAGCUGAGAGAAUCAGAGAGAUAGUUGCUGUGGAUGAUUACAUGCUGUGUAGGUUUCUGGGUUUGAGAACAUGCUGCAUUGGUUUCUUCCUGACACCUGAGAGAGAAAAACAAUUUCACAAUGCAGAUGGUCAAUAAAAAUGCUGAAAUACAAAAUUACAGAUAUAAAAACUGGCAUUUUCCAGGAUCUUGAAAGGGAAAAAAAAAGGCCUUUAUUGAGAGGGUCCUCAUCUUGUGAGAUGACUUUUCCUAAAGGUUCCAGACUACUCUCGCACAAUGCAGAGAUUGUUUCCUUUAACACCCCUUUUCCUUUCCCCUACAUUUAUUUUAAACUUAAGCUUGCUGUGGGAUAGAUAGAAAAAAAAUAAAAACAGUGGUAACCCAGUAUCUUGGACAAGUUGUCUCCUUCCUCAUUUUUUUAGCUUUUGUAAAGCUGUUGCUGUUUGCAGCAUUACAUUCAUUCUGAUUCAGAAGCUCUAGCAUUAGGGGAGCUUAUUUGAAGCUCUUAUUGUAUGUGUAUCUUCCAUGUUAAUGUUGCUGCAGUUCGUAGUUUGUUUACAAAGAUGAGACCUUGGAGCACUUCAGAACACAAGAGGCAUUUCAGAGAAUAUUGCAGAAUAUCAUCACUGAGCAGAUUUAAGAACAAUUCAGAAAAACAUUUGUCAGGAAUAACACAGGUACUGUUAAUUCUGCAUUGAGGUAUAGGGACAGAUCAGGUGACAUCUCAAGAACUUGUACAGCUGUUUCCUGUGAUUUCAGUGGAAGAUUCAAUGCACUUUUCAGUGGCUUGGUCAAAACCCCUCACUUUAUUUUGUUUUGGAAACACGUUUCCUAAUUUAAAUUCAGAGGGAAGAGAUACUUGCAGUCCCUUGUCUUGCUUGAAACAGCUUCUCUAUUUACACAGGCCAUAUGAAAAAUUAACCUUAAGGGGUUUGUUUGUUUGUAUUGCCAGAUAUUUUAGGAUUGCUGACUCAUUUUACCAAGCUGAGGGUGUGCACACAGGAGCCAAUUGCCACCAAAUCAGAAGGAGGAGAACUUAAAGGACAUCAAGUGCUCCUGUCCUGUCUGUGUGCUUGGUCUGAAUCUGGGCAUGCAGCCACUGCAAAGUAGUGACAGGCUGUAACCUCACAGCCCACACCAUCCAAGGUGAUCACUUGCCUUGUGUGAAGUGCUCUUAGCCUGGAGAAACAGGAAUAAAACCAAUCCUAACUGAGCAGUAGCCCUCUGAGAAUCAGGAACACGGUGCUUGCGCACUGCUGAACACACAGAGCAACCUCAGGAAAUGAAAUCUCAGCGAGUGUGCCCUGAGGCAGGGAAUGGGAACUCCUCUGGGCAGUGGAAAAGGCUCCUGUUUUGGCAUCACCAGUUUGGGAACUGGCACAAAGAUAUACAUGUUGGAAGUAGAGUAUAGAGAGUACUUUGUGUGUCUGGCACACUGUGCACACUCAGGAGUCAUUUCUGGCUCGGAGGUUUCAUCUGUGCAGUAAUGAUAUAAAAUGAUACACUUGGUGUUGGCUCAUACUCUUGGUAACUUGUUUGAUGUGUUUGCUCCAACCAUGUCACUUGCCCUUAGGUUCUUCCAACAAUAUGUGUCCAAGUAGGAUGUGUGGAAAGGCCAAGCUGUUGCUCUGGGGAAGAAUCUGUAGUCAAGCCAUCUUUGGUAGUCAUUGCUUAGAGAUGUCAUUUUCCUCCUAAAUCUGGCAAAGGACAACCUUUCUUGAAUCUCAUCUCCAUUCGUUGCUUGUUAUUUCUGUGUCAUUGCAAGAAAUUCCUUGUUUAAAUAAGUUACAAACACGUAUCUCCUAUGCUGAACCCUGGGUCCAGUGUUGUGCCAAUGUUAUGGAGUUGAUUUUAAUUGAAGUUGCAGCACAAUACAGGGACUCCAUUGAGCUCCUCCAGAAUUGAUUUUUAACUUUCUUGUUAGGUGCAAACUUAAGUUUUCCUUGACACACAGUAGCAUGUGUGACACAAAGGUAAUGAAUACUAGACCCCCUGGAUCUCAUUGCAUUAUCCUGUGACUCUUCUUUUGCAUUACUAAAUGGAGAGAGUGAUGCAUUGAGCCACAAAUGCAAGAGCCCAUGCACAGAAUACCUAUGCAGUCUAAAAAUAACAUUGAGGAGAGUUAGCAGCCCUCAUUCCAGCAGCAGUUGUUACCUGUUCUCCAACCUUGUCUGAGUGGCAGGAGGGCAGGUAAUUUUGGUUUCCAGAGCCAUGAGGUUGAGUAGGGAUCCAGGGAUGAGGGCUGCUCACUGCUCAGCCUGUACCUUUUAGCCACCUGCCUGCUUUGGGAGUUUGUUACAGGAGAGGGGGUCAGGGGUGGCUGCUUUUGGGAGGUGCUGACAGUUCCUGCAUCCCUCUCUUGUUCUAACACUGUCUGUGUGUCCUGGCCUGCUGAGAGCUGGGUGAUGCUGUUCAGAGACUCCUUGCUGUGUGCAGGGGGUGAGUGCAGUUCCUCCUUUCCAUGACCACUUCUGCAGUUGGCAUCAGGUGGGCUGAGCUGUCUGUGAAAUGCCCUCACCUUCCCCUUCCUGCCAGAGCUGGUCUGUGUGCUUGGUACCAACUGUAAUACCAGUCUGAAUGGCUGAGCAGUCUCAGGGUGAGACACAGGGAAGGAUAACAAACACCUCUCCUGAGUUAGGUGCACUGGGCUGACAGCUGCCUUUGGAACCACUCCAACUCAGAGUCCCAGUCUCCCUCAUUGCAGUGUUUUCUAACUGAGACAAUUAUUUUUAAUAUCUAAUUAAAUUUUACUUCUUCUGAGCUCAGUCUUUUUUUAUUAUAGCUUUGGUAGGUCACAAGAGUUAAUUACAGUCCUCAUUGUAGUGGCCUGUAACAUUCUUGAAAAUUGUCAGCCUGGCUGUUCCUCCACCAACACUAUCUGGUUUUAAUUAAUUAACUCAACCAGUGGAUUUUUCAGUUGUUUCUCCAGUCUCAAAUAUUACUUCCGUACAAAUUUUUACUCAUGUUCUUGACUUUGCAUAAUUUCUUUUUAAAAUGGGUGCUCAAUUCCAGAUAUCAUGCAGCUGAGGUUUACCUGUCACCAGAGCAGAAUGACUUCCAGGCCUUCUCCUAUUCCUGUUAAGUUCCAAAAUGCUGUUUGUAGAAGAACUACAGCUCAAGAUUAAGUUGUUGAGGCUGAGUUACUGAAGCCAUUGCUCCUUAUUUUGUGUUUGUCUGCUUAAUUUUUCCUUGUUUUCUACUUCACAAUCGUUUUUAUUGAAUUUAAUUGAUUUCAGAUAGUUUCUCUCCUUUAACAAGUUGCUCUUGAGUUAUUGUUUUUGUCUUCCAAUUACAUUUGCACUGUCCUGAUGUGGUUUGUCCCUUCUCUAAGUGUGUAUUAUGUGAUGUCACUGAAGCUAUUGAAUAAGAAUAGUGAAUGCAAUCAAUUCCCUGUCAGCUAAGAGGGGUGGGGGCAAACUGAAUGCUGGAAAAACAUUUUUGGUGUCUCAGUAAGGGCUGUUGUUUCCAUGUGGUGUGGGUGAGCUAGGUCCUCUUCAUAGAUGUACUAGAAAAUGCAUUGAUCUCUGCUGCUGAACUGCUGCAAAUCUCACUGUGUAUCUCUCCUGGCAAUAUAAUGUAGGUGUGUUGUUGCCAUUUGGCAACUUUUCAGGGGUUUAUGGAUAUUUUAAUGGAGGAAAAAGAAUAAAAAAAAUUCACUUUUGAAUGGCAAUUCUAACACGACAUAAAGAAUAAAUCUGGAAAGUCUCCUAGGAAUGCUGAGGUCACUCCAGAACUGCCCAGUUGCACACAAAUAUGCCAGAAAUUGUCCAAAAAAAGACUUGAAGUUGCCCUGUGAGCCUGACUAAAGUAUUUGAACAUGCUUUUAAGCGUUGGAUUUAAAUCAAAACACAUAAGGUAAGAUUUUUCUUACAGACUAGGAGAUGUGAACGGCUGUGGUGUUUUGUUUAUUUUGAACCACUUAAAAUCUGGAAGGUGGGAAAUUACCUCUCUUUUAAAAAACAAAACCACCCUUGGUCAGGAACGAGUACCUUAAGAAAAGUAAGUACAUGCCAAGCACCUGGUUGAGGUGCCAGCCUGCAUUCAGUGCUGGGACACAUUCCCCUUUUGGGUCUGGGCUGUCAGCUGCUCAGGUAGAGUGUGAAUUGUGUCUGGAUCACUCCUUUAAAAGGACUGCCUAAGCCGGUUUUGCCUCGGGGUAGAGCUGUGUUAACAGUGCAACAGGUCAGUAAUGAGGAUGAAUUCCUCCAACUCUGUACAGCGGUGACACACCAAGACUGAGAACUUUGGGGUUUGAUGAUUCAGCCUUAUAAACAGUCCUUGUCUUCUGGUGCUGCUGAUACAUCCAAGGAGGAAUAAUGACUAUAUUGUUUUCUCUCUACAGUCAAUGGUUUGGGAAUACAUGUGCCACUCAUGGCAUAUCCUUCUUCUCCCCAGUGUAGCAGCUCCUGUAGUUGGACUCCAGAGUUCUCAACCAGAUACAAACUCAUGGACAGUUUCCUUUUGCACACAUAAGCAAAUUUUUUGCUAUUGAGCAAUCUGUUACUUCAAUAGCAAUAGAAAAAAUGCAGUGAUCCAGAAACUUUUAGCUGGAAAUGAGAAAGUUAAAGAUGGGGUUUCAUUUAAAAUUCAAAUACUUCUUUUUCCUAUAAUGACUUUUUUUUUUUUCAUUCCAGAAGGCCUUUUCUGAUUUAUUUGCCUUUCUGCUGUGUAGGGGUGGCUAAACUUGUAGAUUUUGAUGCAGUGCACAAUGAAGUGUAUCUAAAAUAGUCCUAUAAUUUUUUUUCUCUCUGUUUACAGGAGUUAUUUUUCAUAGUCUUAUGCUGCCUGCUUCCGGACUCAGUGUCUUCUGUAUUAUCAGGGCUUUUAGAUGAAGGGGCUGGUUUUUAUUUCAUUCCUGUCAGUGACAAAUGAAAAUACUUACUUAUAGUUAAAACAGGAAAAAUAAAUCCAGAUUUCUAUAAUAAUAUUAUCUAAAUACAAUGUCCUCUGUCAUCCUCUCAGCCUCCCAAAACUGCAGCAUUCAACAUGGCUUGUGAAUCUUGAUAUGCACACACAUAUAUAUGAUACUCAAAAAAUAGUUUUAGAUAAUGGAGUGAUACAGUGAAAUAUUCAUGUAUAGAAUAUAACAUAUCUGGAAAAAAUUGAAAAAAUGUAUUGCAGAUCUCGUUUUCUAAAUUAAGAUGUAUUGCUCUAGAACUCUAUUCUGACUUGUGAUUUCAAAGGCUUAGCUUAAAAGUUGGGUAGAGCAGAAGAGUGAGUGAAGCUCUCCAGGUUGUGCCUGUUGGUGAUGGAAUAGCUCGGGGUGAGAGGGGAUGGGUGGUGCUGGUGAAACAGCUCAGGGAAGGUGGUUUGUAUCCAGAGGGAUUUACAGUGAUUCAAACUGAGCAGUGACCGACCUGGCAGCCCUGAAUAGCUGGAGAAAGGGACUCAA